UACGUAGGGAGCGAGCGUUGUCCGGAAUUACUGGGUGUAAAGGGAGCGUAGGCGGGAUGGCAAGUCAGAUGUGAAAACUAUGGGCUCAACUCAUAGACUGCAUUUGAAACUGUUGUUCUUGAGUGAGGUAGAGGUAAGCGGAAUUCCUGGUGUAGCGGUGAAAUGCGUAGAGAUCAGGAGGAACAUCGGUGGCGAAGGCGGCUUACUGGGCCUUUACUGACGCUGAGGCUCGAAAGCGUGGGGAGCAAACAGG
rnacentral:rRNA from 1 species